rnacentral:lncRNA from 1 species
AAACACUGUAUCUGCUCUCUGUGGUUCCCGUCAGUAUUACUUUUAGUGUUAUAGUGACAAGGCAUUUGUCUUCUGUCCCUAUGUCAGUUAGGGACUGUUUCUCCAGAGGCCUUUCUUUGAAAUAUGCAGCCCGAGAACAGCCAAAUGAUUUCUUCCUACUGCAAGGUGAAAGUGUCAUCUGCUUUCUGUCAUUGAAUUAAUCGACAGAGAAGCAAGCUGCUGUUCUAGUUGGCAUGAUGAAUACUGGUAUCAACAGGAAGAUUUUUUGUUACAGUUUUAUACAAUGCAAUGUUUAUGUCAGUGAUGUCAAAAGUUGUUUAGGACUGGCAAGGCAACUCAGUGGAUAAAGGUGCUCUCCAUCAGCUAUAAGGACACGUGUUGGUUCUCCAGGAUGGAGAAAGGUGAUAACCACCUCUGACCCAUACAGGUCUACUGCUGAAUAAGCUCACCUUCUCCAACAUUUUGAACUCUGGCUGACUAGUUCAGUGCUGUUCUGGCUGAAACUCCUUUCCAAGCUAACUGAUUCAAUCUGGCUUCUCUGAGAUUCUAACUGAAUUGCUCUGCUUGGCCUCAAAAUACCUCUGGUAUUUAGUUAUAAUCUUCUGGCUCCUUAUUAGUCUCUAGCUUCAACUGCCUCUAUUGACCUGCACUGAACUGAAUGAGGUGACAAUUAUCUCAACUCUACUUUGCUGCACUCACUUCACUGUCUCUUGACUAUAUUUUUCACCCUCUCUCUUGUGCUGCUCUUAAAUACUUUGUCUUGACUGUGCUGUUCCCAUGAGAAUUGGGCAUACCCUAUCUCUGACUCAUUUUGUCAAAUCUUUCUCUGAUUGGCACUAUCUAUCCCUAAAUUUGGCAUCAUUGCUUGGCAUUAAAGGUGGGUAUUAAGGGUGUGUCUAUAUUUCAGCCAGAGGAAAAUAAAGGUGUUUGGUGUGUCUGUAUUUCAUCCAUAUCACACAUACCUUGGAUGUGAUUUGAGGAGCCAUGCUGCCAGAUUAAACUUCCUCUAUAAUUAUUUGAAGAACAUUUAACUAAUUAAAAUUGACUGAAAGG